CUUGAGUAUUUUACCAUAAUAAUUAAGGAACUUUUUUCUCCUUAGAACUCAAGCAGUGUGGCAUUGCUUCAUAAACAUCUGCAGCUCUUGUUGCCUCAUGCCACAGAUAUUUACUCCCGUUCUGCAAAUCUGCUCAAAGAAAGUCCUUGGAAUGGCAGUGUUGGAGAAAAAUUAAGAGAUGUGAUAUACGUCUCAGCUGCAGGCAGUAUGCUCUGCCAGAUUGUUAACUCCCUACUAUUACUCCCAGUGUCAGUGGCUCGUCCCCUGUUGAGUUACCUCCUG
rnacentral:lncRNA from 1 species